GAUGAGUCCCUAAUAAAUGC
rnacentral:piRNA from 1 species